UUCCUACGGGAGGCAGCAGUGAGGAAUAUUGGUCAAUGGGCGGAAGCCUGAACCAGCCAAGUCGCGUGAGGGAAUAAGGCCCUACGGGUCGUAAACCUCUUUUGCCGGGGAGCAAGGGCGGGGACGUGUCCCGGCCCGGAGAGUACCCGGAGAAAAAGCAUCGGCUAACUCCGUGCCAGCAGCCGCGGUAAUACGGAGGAUGCGAGCGUUAUCCGGAUUUAUUGGGUGUAAAGGGAGCGUAGACGGCAUAGCAAGUCUGAAGUGAAAGCCCGUGGCUCAACCGCGGAACUGCUUUGGAAACUGUU
rnacentral:rRNA from 1 species